UCACAGCUAGUAUAUAUGAGGAAUGUUCAAUUAACUAGAAAGUAAGUGAUGAGCAAAAGAAGAGAAGAAAGCAGAAUGUAUACCCACAUCGGCUUGCCCGUAAAGGUUAUGCUCGUUUUGCUGAUGAAAUAGGAGAUGAAUUAUGUGAUGAUGAAGAGAUUAAUCGAGCGAUUAUUUGGAAGAAAGGACGGAUGAAUAAGAAGGGGCAAUUUGAAGGCGAUGAUUUGAAAAUGGCAAUAGAAAAGAUUGAUGAUUAUGUGCAACAAAAACGGGAGGGUAAGUUGCACUUAGAAGAGGCAAACACGGAUAUCCUUUCAAAAGCACUUUCAUCUGAGGAGCAUUCUGGGCGUGUGAGGGGUGUUGGAGGCCAUGUCACUCCAACAUUCUAUUUUAAUGUUGGCAGCAUAGUGCAGAAACACCUUGUUGAUGAGCAGUUUAUCCUUCAACAAAAAGAGUUGAUGGAGGCAAAGAUAUUAAUCUCACAACAAAAUGCACGCAUAUCAAAUCAAGAUGAACGCAUACAGAAACUUGA